CAGUAGCCGCGGUAAUACGUAGGUCCCGAGCGUUGUCCGGAUUUAUUGGGCGUAAAGCGAGCGCAGGCGGUUAGAUAAGUCUGAAGUUAAAGGCCGUGGCUUAACCAUAGUACGCUUUGGAAACUGUUUAACUUGAGUGCAAGAGGGGAGAGUGGAAUUCCAUGUGUAGCGGUGAAAUGCGUAGAGAUGUGGAGGAACACCAGUGGCGAAGGCGACUCUCUGGUCUGCAACUGACGCUGAGGCUCGAAAGCCAGGGGAGCGAACGGGAUUAGAUACCCCCGUAGUCCCUGUCUCUUAUACA
rnacentral:rRNA from 1 species